rnacentral:rRNA from 1 species
AGGACGAACGCUGGCGGCGUGCUUAACACAUGCAAGUCGAGCGGUAAGGCUCCUUCGGGAGUACACGAGCGGCGAACGGGUGAGUAACACGUGAGCAAUCUGCCCUUCACACUGGGAUACCCCCGGAAACGGGUGCUAAUACCAGAUACAACCACUUCAGACAUCUGACGGUGGUGGAAAGUUCUGGCGGUGAAGGAUGAGCUCGCGGCCUAUCAGCUAGUUGGUGAGGUAAUGGCCCACCAAGGCUUCGACGGGUAGCCGGCCUGAGAGGGUGACCGGCCACACUGGGACUGAGACACGGCCCAGACUCCUACGGGAGGCAGCAGUGGGGAAUAUUGGACAAUGGGCGAAAGCCUGAUCCAGCAACGCCGCGUGAGGGAUGACGGCCUUCGGGUUGUAAACCUCUUUCAGCAGGGACGAAGCGAAGUGACGGUACUGCAGAGAGCACCGGCAACUACGUGCAGCAGCCGC